rnacentral:lncRNA from 1 species
UUGGACUGAAUUCUAAAAUUUUUCCUGGUGAAACAGACUGCAGAUUGAAUUCCCACAUAGGCAAUUCCAGAAUUCUUAUGAGACAUGCAUUAGGACAUCAGCAACAGGUGGUGCCAAAAAUAAAAAGCAGAUUAAUUUUAAAUGGGAUGAUUUUAUUGAAUUGUAGACUAAAGAACUACAUAGACCAAUGCGCCAUAUUCUAUCUUGCCUUUUCUUGGCUUCCUUCUAGGAAACUCAUUAUUUUUGGCUACAGAAAAUUACCACAGCCACCCCAACCCUCAACAACCACCACCCUGAUCAGUCAGCAGUCAUUAACAUCAGGACAAGAUCCCCCACCAGCAAAAAGACUACAACUCAGAUGAUCACUGGCAUUUUUUGGUUAAGAGAAUAAUUACAGAACUGAAGAAGAGAGAGCAAACACGGUAAAAACAUAGUACAAACAAGAUAAAACAUACUCAAAGCAGAACAGAUGGAGGCAAGAGUCGUCAAAACUACUAAGAACCCAG